rnacentral:rRNA from 1 species
GACGAACGCUGGCGGCGUGCCUAACACAUGCAAGUCGAGCGGGGUUGAGGCGAGAGGUAACUCGAACUUCUACCUAGCGGCGGACGGGUGAGUAACGCGUGGGCAACCUGCCUCAAGGUUUGGGAUAACAGCCCGAAAGGGCUGCUAAUACCGGAUAUGCCUAUGGCCUCGCAUGGGGCUAUGAGCAAAGGGGAAACCCGCCUUGAGAUGGGCCCGCGUCCCAUCAGCUAGUUGGUGAGGUAACAGCUCACCAAGGCGACGACGGGUAGCCGGCCUGAGAGGGUGACCGGCCACACUGGGACUGAGACACGGCCCAGACUCCUACGGGGGGCAGCAGUGGGGGAUCUUGCACAAUGGGCGAAAGCCUGAUGCAGCGACGCCGCGUGAGCGAAGAAGGCCUCGGUUGUAAGCUCUGUCUGAGGGACGAACGAAAAUGACGGUACCGUCCGGACGGAAGCCACGGCUAACUACGUGCCAGCAGCCGCGGUAACUAGUAGUCGU